rnacentral:rRNA from 1 species
UCCUGGCUCAGGAUGAACGCUAGCUACAGGCUUAACACAUGCAAGUCGAGGGGAAACGAUAGAGAAAGCUUGCUUUUUCUAGGCGUCGACCGGCGCACGGGUGAGUAACGCGUAUCCAACCUGCCCAUCACUUGGGGAUAACCUUGCGAAAGUAAGACUAAUACCCAAUGACGUCUCUAGAAGACAUCUGAAGGAGAUUAAAGAUUUAUCGGUGAUGGAUGGGGAUGCGUCUGAUUAGCUUGUUGGCGGGGUAACGGCCCACCAAGGCGACGAUCAGUAGGGGUUCUGAGAGGAAGGCCCCCCACAUUGGAACUGAGACACGGUCCAAACUCCUACGGGAGGCAGCAGUGAGGAAUAUUGGUCAAUGGACGAGAGUCUGAACCAGCCAAGUAGCGUGCAGGACGACGGCCCUAUGGGUUGUAAACUGCUUUUAUAAGGGAAUAAAGUGAGUCUCGUGAGACUUUUUGCAUGUACCUUAUGAAUAAGGACCGGCUAAUUCCGUG